rnacentral:lncRNA from 1 species
AUUAAAAGAAAAGUUUCUAAAGGAUAUUACUUCAAGAUUUCAUAUUUGCUACAAGAUAUUCACUCGAUUAAACAAGGAGGGGGAUGCAAGGAGAGGCUUUUAAAAACGAGAAGGCCUUACGUCAAAAGGGAGUAGUGGGGUAGAAUGUGAGGCAUGUGAAUGUAGAGGAGAGUAGCUCAUGGUGAAACUGUAUAUUCUUAAUAGAGGUUUAAUGAAUGUAGAGGGAGACGAGUAGAUUACGUGAAUGAGAGAAAUAUAUGUUAAAUGAAAGUAAAUAGUGGUGUUUGGAAUAGUGAAAUAACAACUUAGGUUUUCACAUAAAGAACUAAAUCGGUGAUUGAAAGAGUAAGACUCGGUCCCGUGCACAAUGUGUUAUUAUCAUGUUCAAAUGAAAUGUGGUGUGUUGUUGAUAGUUGUUUUAUAAGUAUAAUAAAUGCAUGUAGGUUUGGGGACUUAUGUACCCAAGAAGGGUGAAGCUUUGUGUGUGUAGAUAAUUUUUUUACAUGCAGCAACAAAGAGGUGUUUCAGGUGUAGAAGUGUGAAAAGGAUGAGAGCAUAGUAUUUCAUCUAACUGUGGGGCCUCUGGUAAGUGUAUGGGUUUAGAGACUUCAAACAAAUGGAAGUGUGAAACCAUGUUUUAUUGUGUAUAAUAAAAUAUCAUUGGUGAAUGUAUUAG